rnacentral:rRNA from 1 species
AACGUAGGAGCCAAGCGUUAUCCGAAUUCACUGGGCGUAAAGCGCGAGCAGGCGGUUCGCUAAGUUGGAUGUGAAAUCUCCCGGCUCAACUGGGAGAGGCCGGACAAGACUGGCGGACUGGAGGACGGUAGAGGGAGGUGGAAUUCCCGGUGUAGUGGUGAAAUGCGUAGAUAUCGGGAGGAACACCCGUGGCGAAGGCGGCCUCCUGGACCGUACCUGACGCUGAGAUGCGAAAGCUAGGGGAG